rnacentral:rRNA from 1 species
UACGUAGGGUGCAAGCGUUGUCCGGAUUUAUUGGGCGUAAAGAGCUCGUAGGCGGUCUGUCGCGUCGGAUGUGAAAACCCAGGGCUCAACCCUGGGCCUGCAUUCGAUACGGGCAGACUAGAGUGAUGUAGGGGAGACUGGAAUUCCUGGUGUAGCGGUGAAAUGCGCAGAUAUCAGGAGGAACACCGAUGGCGAAGGCAGGUCUCUGGGCAUUAACUGACGCUGAGGAGCGAAAGCAUGGGGAGCGAACAGG